rnacentral:lncRNA from 1 species
GCUUUAAAUAUGGUUACUAGCUGGAAGCAGUGGCUCACUUCUGUAAUUCCAGCACUUAGGGAGGCUAAGGUGGGAGUAUUGCUUGAGCCCAGGAGUUUGAGACCAGCCUAGGCAACAUAGUGAGACCUUGUCUCUAUUAAAAAAUUGUAAAAAAAAUUUUUUUAAAUGGUUAUUUUGUAAAUUUUAUGUUCAAACUCUUUUUUUAUUUUAGCUUGUUGCUUAUCUUUUAUUGAUUUUUGGACGUUAUAUAUCUUGAAUUUAAUCUAUUUUCCUGCCUUCAAUAUUGCUAUUUUUGCCCCAAUUUCUUCUAUCUCGAUUUGCUUAUUGUGUGUUUUGGUAAAUGGUUCUAUUGUAUCACAUAUCUUUUCAUUUAUGCUUUUACCUUCACUCUUAUAUGUAUAUAAAGACCAUACUUGCUCUAAAUUAUUUAAAGAUACUUUUAUGAUUUUUUUAGGUUGCUUUUUAAAUAUUUUUACCUAUGAUUCGCUUCAGCUUCAUUUUGAUGUAGGGAACUUAAUUCUUGCAGUUAAUGGUAGAUAAGCUACCAUUUGGCGAAUUACAUCAUUGAUAUGGCUUGGCUGUGUCCCCACCCAAAUCUCAUCUUGAAUUGUAACUCUCACAAUUCUCACAUGUCAUAGGAGGAAUCCAAUGGGAGGUGAUUGAAUUAUGGGGGCAAGUCUUUCCUGCACUGUUGUCGUGAUAGUGAAUGAAUCUCAUGAGAUCUGAUGGUUUUAAAAAUGGGAGUUUCCCUGCACAAGCUCUCUUUUUGCCAGCUGCCAUCCACGUAAGAUGUGACUUGCUCCUCCUUGCCUUCCACCAUGAUUGUGAGGCCUCCCUAGCCAUGUGGAACUGUAAGUCCAGUAAACCUCUUUCUUUUGUAAAUUGCCCAGCUUCAGGGAUGGCUUUGUCAGCAGUGUGAAAACAGACUAAUACAAUCAUGUAUCAAUUGACUUAAAAUAUCUCUUUUAGCAUAUACUAAAUAAGUGGGUUAGUUUCUGGUCCUUAUUUACAGUACAUUGAUUUCACUGUUGUAUCUUAUAUUUUGCCUAAACUUGUGGGACUUCACCCUUCAAUAGAGUAGUUUAAGCAUUUACUGUCAGUCCUCUAUACCAGUGGGGGAUUGGUUCCAGGACCCCCAGGAUGCCAAAAUCCAAGCAUGCAUAAAAAAUGGCAUAGUAUUUGCAUAUCACCCACACACAUCCUACUGUGUCCUUAAAAUAAUUUCUACAUUACUUAUAAUAUCUAAUAUAAUGUAAAUGCUAUGUAAAUUUUUCUUAUACUGUUAUUUUUAUCUUUUUAAUUAUUGUAUUAUUAUUCUUUAUUGUUCAUGUCUGAAUAUUUUAAAUAUGAGGUUGGUUGAAUUUGCAGUUGUGAAACCUGUAGAUGCAGAGGGCCAACUAUACAUUUAAUGUAAUGAGUGUUAUUUUUUCUUUUAUUUCUGUAGUUUUGUACUUUAUUUUUAAUGUUCUCUUAUUUUUCCUUUACUUUUAAUUUUUUGUUGUAUGGGCUGUAAUUCCUUUUCGUAACCACCUUUUCCUCUAGUGACUUAGAACAGAUACAUUCUGUUUUUGCUUCAUUGCCAUCGAUAACCUAAUUGGCAAUAACAAGUGCAAAACACUCAUGAGUCCUCUUUAUAUAAAAUGAAGAAACUAACACUCUUAUUUAACUUCUUACUUUGCUCUGCCAUCUCCUAGGUUUUGGCUGACAGAUAACAUAGGGCAGUGAUCAAAGGGUUUACCUUCUCUGUGCCUCAGCUGCCCCAUCUCGAAAGUGGGCAUAAUAGUAUCAUAGGGUUAUUAUGAAAAUAAAAUGACAUAGUGCACAGGAUGCAUUUACAACAGUGCCUAGCACAUGGUAAGUCAGCAGUAACAUUGUAAUGAUCAGUAAGAUUGAAUACAUCCUUUAACUUUUUAAAUGAUAAUCAUUACUUUACAUCAUGAAACUUUUUAUUCAUUAAUUACUUUUACAGCCUUAUCUGGGGAAUUAUUUAGACUUUAUGUUUUACUUUAAUAGUUUUCUCACCUACUCUCAAUUCUUUCAUAUCAUAGUUUUCUAUGUGAGGACUCUUUAUUGUGAUCCAUCUACUAGUUGAUUGGAAUAUUUCUUUGGGUAAUUUUAGGUUAUACAUGUAUUAUAGUUAUAUUAAGUUUGUAAGGGCCAAGGGGAAAAAAAUAAUGACUUUUACAAAUUCAGUUGAUUUUUUCUUUCAUAAAAAAAUCAUUAGGCAGUCUGGAGCUGCUGUGGAAGUUUAGUUUCACAGUCAUCAGGAUGCCCAUCUUAUUUUCAUUUUCAUUCCUAAGUAACAAAAUGGCUGCUGCAGCGCCAUCUAUCACAUCUUCUUCCAUCCAGCAUGAAGGAAGAAAGCCCAAAGAAGAGGUUGGACCCUCCUAUUAAGGAAUCUUCCUAGAAGUCAUCCUCUCAGCUCUUAAUCUGGGUGUCUGGUUACCAGUUCAGAAGCCGAAUAACGAGAUAGGCACUGCCACUCCUUAUGCCUAGAGGCAGGGGUGGGGAGGAGGAGAAUGACUGUUUUGUGGAAACCCCCAACUCAGAACCGCACAGAUGCCCUGCAGUUCCACCUCUGCAUGGUAGCCAAAGAGAGUCCUCUAAAUGAAGCAAUCUCUUUGAGCCUCUCAGCAUCCCCGCACUUCCAGCAUCACUCAACCCAGAAACAAUAGAAUCUACAAGGGGACUCCCUACAUGUUUCUUAUGAGGUCAGAAUUGCCAUCCUGGAAAGGUGAGUUACAGUGCUGCCCAGGUGAUUCUUGUGUGUUACUCUAUGUUAUAUCUAUUGUAUAAUCUCACAUUUAAAUAGCACCAUUCCUUUUAUUGCAAUGCUUAUGAAAACUUUCCUUGUUUUUAGGUUUCCUUCGUCAGUCCAGGCAGGACUGUGCGGUUGGAAAAGGGACGGAUGCUGGUCCUGGAAGGGGCGUCGUUAUCUAGAAGCUCCCAACCUAAGUGGGUGACUCAUAGGGAGGGCAAGGAGAGAAGGACACAGCAAGCAACUUACAUGUAAAACAAGACGUGUGGGUUAUUAUGGAAGAAAUUCACAACCAAACUUGGGGUUAGCCCGUAUUGUUUUCCAAGAACUCUAUGUGGACAGUGACAAAAAACAGACCUAAGAACUAGCAGACUGGGCAAAGCUUUUUCACAUAACAACAACAAAAAAAGCAAUUCCUCAGGAAAAAAUGGUCAAUGGGUCAUUGUGUGUAGACAAAACUACAAGUUCUGCUCCAGACUCUGGGGAAACCAUGCUGCCAUCUUCAAGCUGUGGCCAUUCUGUAAUACAGACUACGCUAAAUCACAUGUUGUCAUCAAGGCAGAAUAUUUUGUUCCUUUAUGGGUCAGCCUGGGAUACAAAAUUAGAGAAACUUUGCAAUGAAAAAUCCCUUGUGUCUCAUUGAACUUUUUCCUUAAUUCAAACCUUUCCUUUCACAGUUUUGAUUAGUGCCUUUGCCCAUGUGGACAAUAUUUUAUGAUCAGGUUUUAAGAGUAAUCCAUCCAUGGCUGCUUGGCUGCCUGGAACUUAAAACAACGACAACAACAAUGUCCAGAUAAACCCAAUAAAAU